UACGGGGGGGGGUAAGCGUUGUUCGGAAUUACUGGGCGUAAAGGGCUCGUAGGCGGCCAACUAAGUCAUACGUGAAAUCCCUCAGCUUAACUGGGGAACUGCGUGUGAUACUGGAUGGCUUGGAUUUGGGAGAGGGAUGCGGAAUUCCAGGUGUAGCGGUGAAAUGCGUAGAUAUCUGGAGGAACACCGAUGGCGAAGGCGGCUAUCUGGACGGUUUCUGACACUAAGACUCGAAAGCGUGGGGAGCAAACAGG
rnacentral:rRNA from 1 species